CCGCGCAAUUUGGAGGGGAGAACCGCCCGCGUGCAGUGAAGAAAGGUUUCGGCUCGUAAAGCUCUGUUGGUAGUGAAGAAAGAUAGAGGAGUAACUGGCCUUUAUUUGACGGUAAUUACUUAGAAAGUCACGGCUAACUACGUGCCAGCAGCCGCGGUAAUACGUAGGUGGCAAGCGUUGUCCGGAUUUAUUGGGCGUAAAGCGAGUGCAGGCGGUUCAAUAAGUCUGAUGCGAAAGCCUUCGGCUCAACCGGAGAAUUGCAUCAGAAACUGUUGAACUUGAGUGCAGAAGAGGAGAGUGGAACUCCAUGUGUAGCGGUGUAAUA
rnacentral:rRNA from 1 species